rnacentral:rRNA from 1 species
CAGCCGCCGCGGGAAUACGAAGGGUGCAAGCGUUACUCGGAAUUACUGGGCGUAAAGCGUGCGUAGGUGGUGGUUUAAGUCCGUUGUGAAAGCCCUGGGCUCAACCUGGGAAUUGCAGUGGAUACUGGGUCACUAGAGUGUGGUAGAGGAUAGUGGAAUUUCCGGUGUAGCAGUGAAAUGCGUAGAGAUCGGAAGGAACAUCUGUGGCGAAGGCGACUAUCUGGGCCAACACUGACACUGAGGCACGAAAGCGUGGGGAGCAAACAGGAUUAGAUACCCCGGUAGUCCCUGUCUCUUAUAA